rnacentral:lncRNA from 1 species
CAUAGCGCUCGAUCAGAUGGUUCCAGGCUUUGGUAGCAUCCCGUUGAGCCCAUACUACUUCUGGCCACGGAAAGAUGCGUGGGAGGAGCUAAGAGCAAAGCUGGAGGAGAAAGAGUGGAUCUCGCAGAAGCAGAUGAUCAUCCUUCUCAACCAGGCCACGGACAUCAUCAACCUCUGGCAGCAGGGCGGCGGUAGCUUGUCGACAUGAGCUUCUCUCUGUUCUCCCAACCGCACGAGCUGUUUAUCGUCCUUGUUCUUGCUUCAUCUACAUGGCUCUCUGUUGUUAAUGUUAAAGCCACAUGGU